rnacentral:rRNA from 1 species
GACGAACGCUGGCGGCGUGCUUAACACAUGCAAGUCGAACGGAAAGGCCCUGCUUGCGGGGUACUCGAGUGGCGAACGGGUGAGUAACACGUGGGUGGUCUGCCCUGCUCUUCGGGUUAGGCCUGUGCAACUGGGUCUAAUUCCUGAUAGGAGCCAUUUUUAGUGUGAUGGUUGGAAAGUUUUUUCGGUUCUGGCUGAGCUGGCGGCCUAUCGGCUUGUUGGGGGGGUGAUGGCCUACCGAGGCGGCGAAGGGUAGCCGGACUGCGUGGGUGGACGGCCACACAGAGACUGAGAGGAGGCCCAGACUCCGACGGGAGGGAGAAGGGGGGAAGACUGAACGAGGGGCGCAAGCCGGAUGCAGCAAGGCUGCGUGGGGGAUGACGGCCUUCGGGUUGAAGAAUACUUUCGCUAGGGACGAAGCUUUUUGUGACGGUACCUAGACAGGAAGCACCGGCUAACUACGUG